GCUGCACAGAAAUCAAUCUUAAAUUCUCAAGAGUUACGAGAAGCAAUGACAGUGUCUAGAACUAGUGUCUAGAAGAGGAACUGGCUGCAGCGAAAUCUAAUAUGCUAGAUAAUCCAUAUGUUCUUUCCCAUACCUUGAAGGAAGUUUUGCAGUUGCUGCAAUCAAUAAUUUCAACGGCUGGUCAUCUCCUCUUCAAUAUAGGACCGGGAAUACAGCUUUUACAGAUAGUGGUGUUCAGAAAGUACAUUUAAAAUUGUUAAAUGUUCUCUUGUCUUUCAAUAAUCAAUUUUUUUGUUUUACUACAUUAGAUAAAACUUUGCCGAACGUGUGCUACUCUCAUUAAUGCAAAUGCCCUGAAAAACGCUUCAGUUAGGGAAUGGAGGCAAGAAAACAACGGACAUGAAUUCGAUGAUAAAUGUUAUCAUGAAGGACCUUUGGGAAAGAAAAUUCAUGUCCCAGCAUUCUGUUAGUGGACAUAAACUAAAAAAAAAAACAAGGCUGACACACCAGCGAAGCCUGCCCUACCCCCUGAUUCCGUUCAGGCAAUCAUGAAUUAUGUCACCGAAUUUUGGAGAAAGCAAUACACCAUCAUUCUAGAAGCAAAGCACAUUAGGAGUGCUAUCAGUACCAAACUCUCGACCGAAAACUUGGCGUUCAAGAAAACAUCAUCGAUUUUUGCAUCAGCUACUCAUCAGCCAGAAAGAAAAAAACCGCUGAUGAUGAUGUACAACCUGGUGCAGCUGGCGGUGAUGAAGAAGAAGAUGACAAAAUAACAACUUAAUUAUUGAAAUAACUCUUACAUUGUUAUUUUAAAUCACCAGCAAUUCUG